rnacentral:lncRNA from 1 species
CUUUAAAGGAAUGAAGCAACUGAGAUUAUUCUGGAAAACCUUUUGGCAGUUAGUGAAAUUAGAGUACAACUAAGAACAUUUUCAGACCUCCACUGUGGAUGACCUGGGUAUAAUCUCACAAAUCGAUGGGACUGCAAGGAUUGUAAACUGAAAUGAACAUGAUUAUACUCUGUUGGAAGAGCCUAAGAGGAAACUGAUGCCAUGAGUUUCAGAGAGUAAUGCUUAACCCCAGUUACACAGGAUGCCA